rnacentral:rRNA from 1 species
GAAGCACGCUGGCGGCGUGCUUAACACAUGAAAGUCGAACGAAGUGGCGAACGGGUGAGUAACGCGUAAUCAACCUGCCCUUCAGAGGGGGACCACACUUGGAAACGCCUGCUAAUACCGCAUACAGAAGGAGGGGAUUGCGUCGGAUUAGCUAGUUGGAGGGGUAACGGCCCACCAAGGCGAUGAUCAGUAGCCGGUCUGGGAGGAUGAACGGCCACAUUGGGACUGAGACACGGCCCAGACUCCUACGGGAGGCAGCAGUGGGGAAUCUUCCGCAAUGGACGAAAGUCUGACGGAGCAAAGCCGCGUGAGUGAUGACGGCCUUCGGGUUGUAAAGCUCUGUUAAUCGGGACGCGGUACCGGAAUAGAAAGCCACGGCUAACUACGUGCCAGCAGCCGCGGUAAUAC